AUCCCCCUAGUAAUAAUUUUAAUACAAGUGACUUCCAAUCAUUUAAUCUUGGUUAAACUCCGAGGGGGGAUA
rnacentral:tRNA from 1 species